UCAGAACGAACGCUGGCGGCAGGCCUAACACAUGCAAGUCGAACGCCCCGCAAGGGGAGUGGCAGACGGGUGAGUAACACGUGGGAACCUUCCCUAUAGUACGGAAUAGCCCAGGGAAACUUGGAGUAAUACCGUAUACGCCCGAAAGGGGAAAGAAUUUCGCUAUAGGAUGGGCCCGCGUAGGAUUAGCUAGUUGGUGAGGUAACGGCUCACCAAGGCGACGAUCCUUAGCUGGUUUGAGAGAACGACCAGCCACACUGGGACUGAGACACGGCCCAGACUCCUACGGGAGGCAGCAGUGGGGAAUAUUGGACAAUGGGCGCAAGCCUGAUCCAGCCAUGCCGCGUGAGUGAUGAAGGCCUUAGGGUUGUAAAGCUCUUUUGCCGGGGACGAUAAUGACGGUACCCGGAGAAUAAGUCCCGGCUAACUUCGUGCCAGCAGCCGCGGUAAUACGAAGGGGACUAGCGUUGUUCGGAAUCACUGGGCGUAAAGCGCACGUAGGCGGAUUUGUAAGUCAGGGGUGAAAUCCCGGGGCUCAACCUCGGAACUGCCUUUGAUACUGCGAAUCUUGAGUCCGAUAGAGGUGGGUGGAAUUCCUAGUGUAGAGGUGAAAUUCGUAGAUAUUAGGAAGAACACCGGUGGCGAAGGCGGCCCACUGGAUCGGUACUGAC
rnacentral:rRNA from 1 species